rnacentral:rRNA from 1 species
GCAAGUCGAGCGCACCUUCGGGUGAGCGGCGGACGGGUUAGUAACGCGUGGGAAUAUACCUAGUUCUAAGGAAUAGCCUCUGGAAACGGAGAGUAAUACCUUAUACGCCCUUCGGGGGAAAGAUUUAUCGGAAUUAGAUUAGCCCGCGUUUGAUUAGAUAGUUGGUGGGGUAAAGGCCUACCAAGGCGACGAUCUAUAGCUGGUCUGAGAGGAUGAUC